rnacentral:lncRNA from 1 species
ACACCUCCAAGGUCAUGUGGCCGGCAUGACUGCAAGCAGCGCCGUUACCUUUCCACUAGCGUGGUACCUAUUGAUCUACUCACAUUUGCAUGUUUUCAAACUGCUAGGUUGGCAGGAGCUGGGGCUAACAGCAGGCACUCAUUCCGCUCCCGGGAUUUGAAUCUGGGACCUUUUGGUCUGCAAGUUCAGCAGCUCAGCGCUUUAACACACUGUGCCAUCAGGGGCCCCACUGGAGCAACCGGAGUUGCUUCUGGAGUGAGAGAAUUGGCUAUCUGCAAGGACGUUGCCCAGGGGACGCCCGGAUGUUUUGAUGUUUUCCCAUCCUUGUGGGAGGCUUCUCUCAUGUCCCCGCAUGGAGCUG